CAAAUGUUCUUCGUGAACAUGGCAGACUGCUCAGUAACACGUGGAUAACCUACCCUAAGGACAGGAAUAACCCCGGGAAACUGGGGAUAAUACCUGAUAAAUUAGAGAUGCUGGAAUGCCCUCUAAUUCAAAGGUCCGCCGCCUUUGGAUGGAUCUGCGGCUCAUCAGGUAGUAGUGGGUGUAACGUACCUACUAGCCUACGACGAGUACGGGUUGUGAGAGCAAGAGCCCGGAGAUGGAUUCUGAGACACGAAUCCAGGCCCUACGGGGUGCAGCAGGCGCGAAUUCUUUACAAUGCAGGCAACUGCGAUAAGGGGACACCGAGUGCCAGUGAAUUUCAUUGGCUGUCUUAAUGUUUAAAACGCAUUCAAUAGCAAGGGCUGGGCAAGACCGGUGCCAGCCGCCGCGGUAAUACCGGCAGCCCGAGUGGUAACCACUAUUAUUGGGUCUAAAGGGUCCGUAGCCGGGGCAAUCAGUCUUCUGGGAAAUCUGGCAGCUCAACUGUCAGGCGACUAGGGGAUACUGUUGGCCUUGGGACCGGAAGAGGUAAGAGGUACUUUAGGGGUAGGAGUGAAAUCUUGUAAUCCUUAAGGGACCACCAGUGGCGAAGGCGUCUUACCAGAACGGGUCCGACGGUGAGGGACGAAAGCUAGGGGCGCAAACCGGAUUAGAUACCCGGGUAGUCCUAGCCGUAAACGAUGUUCGCUAUGUGUCACGGACGGCGUGACCGUUCCUGGUGC
rnacentral:rRNA from 1 species